rnacentral:misc_RNA from 1 species
GUGAAUCAUCAAAUUUUUGAACGCAAAUUGCACUCUCCUCGGAGAUUAUGCCUGUUUGAGGGUCAGCCUAUAAAAAUCGACAUCGUUGCUUUUUCGCGGUGGCGUUCGUCGGAAAUGCGUUCAUCAUAAAUCCUGUUGAUUUAGGCGACUUAACAUUUUCUUUUGGUUCCAUGAACGGUUCUAAGUUAUAUUUCUUGACACGUUGAAGGUAUCGAUUUUUACUAGACUUGACUAGCAUAUCGGAUGGCGU